CAUUACUUUAUCAGUUUGUAAUACAAAGUCAAGGCCCUCGGAAUCUAUGUUGUUCUGUCAACAGUCAGUUUCUGAUAAACAUUUGAAUCAACAUAGAAAAAAGAAAAUAAUGUAUUUCGGCUAAACUUGGGGAAAGUAUGUACAUUAUACUUGUUUUGUUAAUAAGAACAGGCAGGUAAGAGUGAAUGAAUAAAUCUUAGGCUGAAUAGAAUCGCUUGUGUUUUUACACUCCCUACAGUCAAAUACCGAUUAAAAAAUUAUCACGAUGAAAGCAACCAACACCAUCAUUAUAAAGACACAAGACAGACUUCAAUGAAAUAUAUUCAUACAAUUUUUAUCUAAGGCAUUUUUCUGUACGGUGAAUAUUUAACAAAGUGCAAGGCAAAGAAUUACUGGCUCUUUACUGUAAUAUUUGUAACGUGAUUUGUUUUGCAACAAUAGGUUUAUAUCUACAAUAAAUUAAUAUGAAGGCUAGCAAUAAAGUCAGAAGAACGCGUUCAGUAUACAUAUGCCAUAAGAGAACGCCUUUCCAUUCUUGUUUAAAAGUCGACUUAUUUCUGCAUCAUCCGUCCAUCACGUGUCCACGUUUAUCAAAAGUGUAGUACUGCGUUGUGAGAAAUCUCGUUUCUCUAUUCUGGCUUCGCUCGAAGGCAACAGGGAAUUUUUUUCAUUAACUACGUGCAUAAAACUAUUUUUUCCGCUUUACAUGGUAUUGAUGCUCAUUAAAAUUCUGCAUCUGUGUUUCUUGUGUCACAUAAUCACGUGUGCUUCAAUUUCCAGAGUCGGUGAUUGCACUUACGAUAUACAUGCAGCUGUUUGUUCUUGUAUGUGGCAAAGGAGAGACUAGUGCAAGAGUAGCGAUGAGGUUUCAGUGUCACUCGACAUGUUCGGAGGGUUGACAUUCCUUUAUCCCAGCAAAUGUUAACAAGAGAUGCUAGUCUUGGGAUUGAUAUGAUAGUUGAAGAAGUCGUGUCGCGAGACGCCAUAGUGACUGCGCGAAGAUUCCAUGUAACAACUGAUUGUUGCAGUCUUACCUUGCACCGUAACUGCUGCUGCUGCAUUCUGAACGAUGACCGAUGCUCCCUGCAGUUGCCCAGGAGACACCACUACACUAGACAGCAUCACCUGCUCUUGCUCAUUCAUCAGGUCAAAGGUCACCUGCUAGUUGCCUCUUCCAAACCUUGCCGCCACAUGCAGUUCGUCGCUUGCCUCAUCCAACCAAUUGCUCGGACAAAGAGCAAGAAUACUGUCUCGACGGAGGAGACACCUAGCUUAUUAUCGUAUUACUAGCGUCUUAUGCGCGCGCACUCUCUUAUCAGGAAUCACUUAGAAUUGAGACGGGAUUUGAGGUUCUUACGGUGGUGAGUCUGAAGAUUUACCGUAAACUUCUACCAUACUACACGGUGCUACAACCCACAAGACAGCCAUCUUCAUUGCAAUUCUUCUCACAGUUCUUUCCAUCAAAGAGACAUCCUGUCAGCAACUGAUAAUCAGCUGCUGAAAAACUAAGAUACGGCGAGACUGUGUUCUACGAAAUAGAAGCCAUUUUCCUGUAAUCUUGGUCCUGCAUUUUGAACUGUAUCACAUGAAUUAACACGAGUGUGUGUCUGGUAACUGUUCUUGCAGAACAAGCAAGAAAAAGAAUGCAUACGAUUCUAAAUGUCUGUUAAUCGAUGGAAAUUUGUGAAUUUCGCAAAGACGUAAUUUAUUAAUGUUUCAAGUGAACCAGCACAGAUAUCCAAAUAGGCUUUUGAAAAUACGUGCUGCAAAUAUCGGCAUAUACUUUUUCUUUAUUUAUAAUGUUCACAUAGGAGUUAGGAUAAGUCAAACUGGAAAUUCUAACAAAACUACAUAGUACUUUCACGAUAUAAAAUCCUCUAUACAAUUACUUUCAAGAACUUAUCGAAACGUGCAGGAAAUUAAUCAGACAAAACUCCCUCGUGAAAAUAUUGGUUGGGAACAUCCAGCACUGCAUUUCCGGCAUGCGGUCGA